ensembl:lncRNA
UCUCUCUUUCUCUCCUCUCUCUCUCUCUCAGUAUAUAAACAGCUGGAGAGGUGUGUGGUCAACCCUGUUAUGUUUCCAAUAGGGAACCCGUAAUCCUUCUUAUUAAGUUUUUAUCCAUAUUUGUGGAUCGUUCUUUUUUUUCUUUUUUUAAACUUUUUUUUGUCAUUCGUUGAUGUCAUUACCGUUAUACGAUGUCAUCGCUGUUAUGAUGUCAUGAUCAUUAGACUGUUUUCUCAGUUGUGUUUUAUGAUGAUUACUGAGCUGUUUCUGUUGCUAUACUGUACAAUACACUAGGGGCACAAAGGAGGAACCAUCCAUUGUGGACAACAAAACAAAUGUUUGCUUAUAUGAUUGGUCAUUUUCAAUACUGUGUCUGUACUCGUCUCAAAGUGGUUGAAACUCAUUUUCAAUACUGUGUCUGAUUUGCUGUGGUUGAAAUUCAUUUUCAAUACUGUGUCUGUACUCGUCUCAAAGUGGUUGAAACUAAUCUGUAAAACAACAAACGCACGUUUUGAUUUGCUGUGAUUGACAUUCUACUUUGCUGUGAUUGACAUUCUACUUUGCUGUGUUGACAUUCUACUUUGCUGUGUUGACAUUCUACUUCGGUGUGUUGACAUUCUACUUUGCUGUGAUUGACAUUCUACUUUGCUGUGUUGACAUUCUACUUUGCUGUGAUUGAGCAGAAGAGAGGGAGGCCUGUCUGUACUGGUAUUGAUGGGAGAAGGAUUGUGCAUAUUUGCAGGUUAAUGUGGCCUUGUAUUGAACUACUGGCAGCAGAAACUUGACCUUCAGCUUUUUAUGCUGUUUCCCUUUACUUGUUUCUGCCUUUCCAUCUCUACCUGUCUGUUUGUUGACCUCUUUUAGUCAUUCUCUUCCACUCUUUGAUUUCUAUCUGUCUCUUUCUUCUUCUUCUCUCUGUUCCUCUUAUUCUCUUUCUCCUUCUUCUUCUUCUUCUCUUUGUUCCUCUUAUUCUCUUUUUUCUUCUUCUUCUCUUUCUUCUUCUUCUCUUUGUUCCUCUUAUUCUCUUUCUCCUUCUUCUUCUUCUUCUCUUUGUUCCUCUU